rnacentral:rRNA from 1 species
UACGAAGGGGGCAAGCGUUGUUCGGAAUUACUGGGCGUAAAGGGCGCGCAGGCGGCCGAUCAAGUCAGAUGUGAAAGCCCCGGGCUCAACCUGGGAAUAGCAUUUGGGACUGGUCGGCUAGAGUUCGGGAGAGGAGAGUGGAAUUCCCAGUGUAGAGGUGAAAUUCGUAGAUAUUGGGAAGAAACACCGGUGGCGAAGGCGGCUCUCUGGACCGAUACUGACGCUGAGGCG